rnacentral:lncRNA from 1 species
CUCUCACACACCCUACACAUUCACCUAAUAAUAAUCUCUCUCACACACACCCUACACAUUCAUCUAAUUAUAACACACACACACACACAUGAGCCCUUCCACACACACGCACCCUAGACAUUCAUCUAUACAUAGAGAUUCUCUAGUCUACUAUAUUAUUAUACAUAGAGAUUUACUGGCGCACCAUUUAAGCGGAAGAUGAACAAACGUAUAGAACUAUAUAUAUCGACACACUAGGCAGACGAAUCAAGCUUCUGUCGUUUCACUGCCAUCUCUCUCUACACAGUCAAUCCUUUUUUUCCUCUGUUUCUUCCAACCUUCAUCAAAUAAACCCAACAACAAAAACAAACAAACCAUUUCAGACAUCAGUUAAUAUCAAAAAGGUUUUAUCAUAAUUAUUUUCUCAAUAAAAACUAACAAUCGUUCUACAUUUUAGGCAGAAAAAGGGCAGUAUAUCGAAACCAAAUUUUGAAACAUACUUUCUACUAUUCCCAACACAACGAUAUUUCUAAAAACAGUUUUGAAGACAACAUGUUUUCAAGUACUCCAUCUUAAACACCCACAAAACACGAGCUGGAUUUUUAAAACAUGCUCAUUUGAAAUAUUUCUCUAAACUAUAUAACAUAAUUCCAUAACACACUAGUUCUAGCUAGUUUAACAAAGAAAAUUAAAUUAAAUGAGCGGAGUCUUUCUCUUACCUUUUACGAUGAUGAUGCCUCUCUCUCUUUGUCUCUGAGCAAGUGAGAGGAAACUGGAAAAUGUUCGGAGUCGGUAACAGAACUUAGAAACAGAAAUUGUAAGAACUAGUGUGUGUAUGUGUAUGAGUUUUGAACUUUGAACGAACAAUGAGAG